rnacentral:rRNA from 1 species
UACGUAGGGUCCGAGCGUUGUCCGGAAUUACUGGGCGUAAAGAGCUCGUAGGUGGUUUUGUCGCGUUGUUCGUGAAAAACUCACAGCUCAACUGUGGGCGUGCGGGCGAUACGGGCAGACUUGAGUACUGCAGGGGAGACUGGAAUUCCUGGUGUAGCGGUGGAAUGCGCAGAUAUCAGGAGGAACACCGGUGGCGAAGGCGGGUCUCUGGGCAGUAACUGACGCUGAGGAGCGAAAGCGUGGGGAGCGAACAGG